rnacentral:rRNA from 1 species
AGCGAACGCUGGCGGCAGGCUUAACACAUGCAAGUCGAACGCAUCCUUCGGGGUGAGUGGCGGACGGGUGAGUAACACGUGGGAACGUACCCUUCGAUCUGGGAUAACUUCGGGAAACUGGAGCUAAUACCGGAUACGCUCUUUUGGGGAAAGGUUUACUGUCGAAGGAUCGGCCCGCGUCUGAUUAGCUAGUUGGCGGGGUAACGGCGUACCAAGGCGACGAUCAGUAGCUGGUCUGAGAGGAUGAUCAGCCACACUGGGACUGAGACACGGCCCAGACUCCUACGGGAGGCAGCAGUGGGGAAUAUUGGACAAUGGGCGCAAGCCUGAUCCAGCCAUGCCGCGUGAGUGAUGAAGGCCUUAGGGUUGUAAAGCUCUUUUGUCCGGGACGAUAAUGACGGUACCGGAAGAAUAAGCCCCGGCUAACUUCGUG